UACCCCCGCGCGGGAACUAGCAUAUCAAUAAGCGGAGGAAAAGAAACCAACAGGGAUUGCCCUAGUAACGGCGAGUGAAGCGGCAACAGCUCAAAUUUGAAAUCUGGCUCUUUUAGAGUCCGAGUUGUAAUUUGCAGAGGGCGCUUUGGCUUUGGCAGCGGUCCAAGUUCCUUGGAACAGGACGUCACAGAGGGUGAGAAUCCCGUACGUGGUCGCUGGCUAUUGCCGUGUAAAGCCCCUUCGACGAGUCGAGUUGUUUGGGAAUGCAGCUCUAAAUGGGAGGUACAUUUCUUCUAAAGCUAAAUAUUGGCCAGAGACCGAUAGCGCACAAGUAGAGUGAUCGAAAGAUGAAAAGCACUUUGGAAAGAGAGUCAAACAGCACGUGAAAUUGUUGAAAGGGAAGCGCUUGCAGCCAGACUUGCUUGCAGUUGCUCAUCCGGGCUUUUGCCCGGUGCACUCUUCUGUAGGCAGGCCAGCAUCAGUUUGGGCGGUAGGAUAAAGGUCUCUGUCACGUACCUCUCUUCGGGGAGGCCUUAUAGGGGAGACGACAUACUACCAGCCUGGACUGAGGUCCGCGCAUCUGCUAGGAUGCUGGCGUAAUGGCUGUAAGCGGCCCGUCUUGAAACACGGACCAAGGAGUCUAACAUCUAUGCGAGUGUUUGGGUGUCAAGCCCGAGCGCGUAAUGAAAGUGAACGGAGGUGGGAACCCGCAAGGGUGCACCAUCGACCGAUCCUGAUGUCUUCGGAAGGAUUUGAGUAAGAGCAUGGCUGUUGGGACCCGAAAGAUGGUGAACUAUGCUUGAAUAGGGUGAAGCCAGAGGAAACUCUGGUGGAGGCUCGCAGCGGUUCUGACGUGCAAAUCGAUCGUCAAAUUUGGGCAUAGGGGCGAAAGACUAAUCGAGCUAUCUUAUCCCUGC
rnacentral:rRNA from 1 species